rnacentral:rRNA from 1 species
GGAGCUCAGCAUAUGCGCAAGUCAUUGGGUUCUACGAAACCCAAAGGCGUAGUGAAGGCAAAAGCUCGCUUCUGCGUUCUCUGGCAUGAUCUGGGUAACCACUUGGUUGGUCCCGGCGCAAUGCCGACCCGUCCUAAUGUGUCUUUGUACAGGGGCGGCGUUAGAGCGUAUAUGCUGAAACCCGAAAGAUGGCGAACUAUGCUUGGUGAGGUUGAAGCCAGGGGAAACUCUGGUGGAAGACCGUAGCGAUUCUGACGUACAAAUCGAUCGUCAGAACUGAGCAUAGGGGCGAAAGACUAAUCGAGCCAUCUAGAGCUGGUUCCCUCCGAAGUUUCCCUCAGGAUAGCUGUUGCACAUGGAGUAAUCAGUCUCUCCAAAGAGACUAAUUGUAGUAGUAUGGAUGAGUAUCCACAUCAUACUCUCACAUCUAAUGGGACUGAGAGCGUCUCUCUCGAUUGGAGAUGUCUUGAUAUGUUGACUUGCGGCACCAGGUAGGAGAUUGAGGGUGAACAACAUAGGAGCUGUGCUCUGUGUGUACACACACUAUUUAGGUGUCUCACAGUUCGCUCAUGAGACACCAUACAAGGUGUUGUGUGAGAUAGACACCAGGGCGGUGUCCAUGGAAGAUGGAAUCCCCUAAGGAGUGUGUGACAACUCACCUCUCGCAUCUCACAGACCUGUGAAUGGAUGUCGCUAGAGCGAGCGACCUAUACUAGGCCCUACUCAGCGAAUCCUCUGGGAUAAUCAGUCAAGAGUAGGGAGCACCCUUGUUGAGCGUUGAACCCUCGCUGUGAAGUGGGGUGGAGCCGCCAAGGCAGCUGAUCUAGGUGGUAGUA